UCCCCAGAUGGCAAUAGUUCCCUAUACUCGUCUAAGGCUACAUAUCGUAAUUUGUACGUACAGGUAGCAUCACCAAUUCGUACACCAGCACCAGACUAAUGAUGAUUAUAUAACCUUGCCCUGAGUGGGCCCCCAUAUCAAGAUAGCGAUCGCCUAACACACCCGUACGUAUCUCUUCACGUCGAUAUCGUUGGCUUUCGCGAUAAGAAGACCUACCGUGCCAAGUGAGUGCUAUCCUCCACUUACAAGAUCCAAAACCUCAACGCACCACCGAGGUACCGACGCCCUUUAAGCAUUGUUCGAUUGUGCCGAAACCAGAAGAGGCUAGUGCUGUUGCACAUUUUUGAACCAUCCUCAUACCAGCACCAGCAUAUCGUACAUUAUUUAAAAGGUUUUAUCCUAUCUUGACAACAUCAGAUUCAAAAAGUUUAACGGCGGAACUUACUGGGAGUUGAAUAUAUCUCAGCAGGCCACUAUGGAGGAAGCCAUCACCCCAAUAUGGCGCCAACUACCUGAUAUCGUAAACGGCACUUUCGUCUAGCGCAAGCCCAGCGAUCUCAGAAUCGAACUCCGAAGAGCAGGUCUUUUUCACAACAUGGUGCAGAAUGCCAGUCCCGAUAAACGGCGUCUCUGCUCGUGCCGAUCAAGUUCAUUACAAGAGGUAUCAUAAAAUGGGAGAAUCAUAUUACAAACUUACAUACUCGUCAACAGCCUAAAAGUCAGCAUUAGUCGUUCGACUUGUUACCUCCGAUCAAACUGGACAGACCUUGCAGUCCUAUUAAUAAAUAUCUAGCUGGUAUUAACACCAUGGCAAGGUGAGCCAAUAUUUAUAUGUCGGCUUGGCGUUAAGACUAAAGUUAGGGUUAAGGGCGUGAAACAAAUCCCUAUUGACCCCAGACGUGAUCAUUAUGCAAUAGAGGAGAUAUUUACUAGUGCAAAUAUGAUUCUGAUGGAA